UACGUAGGGUGCGAGCGUUGUCCGGAAUUAUUGGGCGUAAAGAGCUUGUAGGCGGUUUGUCGCGUCUGCUGUGAAAUCUCAAGGCUCAACCUUGAGCUUGCAGUGGGUACGGGCAGACUAGAGUGUGGUAGGGGAGACUGGAAUUCCUGGUGUAGCGGUGAAAUGCGCAGAUAUCAGGAGGAACACCGGUGGCGAAGGCGGUUCUCUGGGCCUGUUCUGACGCUGAGGAGCGAAAGCGUGGGGAGCGAACAGG
rnacentral:rRNA from 1 species